rnacentral:tRNA from 1 species
GGCCAGGUGGCCGAGUGGUCAAGGCGAUAGACUGCUAAUCCAUCGGGUUGUGACCGAGUGGGUUCGAGUCCCACCCUCGUCA